GCGGCAGGGCUUCGACGUCGCGUCGUACGGCACCGGAGCCCACGUCAAGCUCCCUGGUCCCUCCCUCAGAGAACCCAAUGUUUACGACUUUGGCACACCUUACAAGCAGAUGUUCGACGAUCUCCGGCGAAAAGACCCCGAACUGUAUCCUCCUCCUCUAAACUUGUUCUUCUCUCGAUUUUGUUCAAUUGGGGUUUUCAAAUUAUGUAUCUUUCUUGUUUCAAUUGGGUUUUUCGAAUUCUGGGUUUUGGGGAAUAUGAUAUUUUGGUGAUGAAAUAGAUUCGUAUAAAUAUCCAGAAAAUAGUACGAACAAAAAGUUUUGGUAGGAGCAAAUUGGUUAACAGGAAAGAAAAAGGACUUUAAGACUGUUGAUAUAUGCAACUGAGAUUGUAGGUUCAAAGCUUCAAUAUUUGGAAAUUAAGUGGGCAGUCUGAUAGAUUUUGUGUAUGAACUUACCCUUGAGGCUUUUAAGAGUAAAUUCGAUAUUUGUGGUUCGAGGUGUUUAGCGAAGAGUAUAGAAUAGUUGAUGACGACGACUAUUGAUUGGUAGCUCUGUGUAGCAAUGCUCGAGUAUUGUGGGAUGUAUGAAUUGGAAUUUAUGUGCGUACAAGCGUAAUGGCAUCUUGCCUAUGCUUAAAAGAAACUUGGGAGUUAAACUGGCACCUCAGCGAUGGCAGGACAAUGCUGCCGACGGUUCCUUUGAUGUGGUGUUAACAUUCGAAGAAAAGGUUUUUGACAUGGUUAUUGAAGUGUUGUUUCUUGGCAAUCUCUUUCUGUUGAGCUGUUGGAAUAUGACUUGCUGGUAGAGUUUGAGCUCUUAAGUUAUAGAUCUCAACAACCGGGACCAUGCUCUUAGGAAAUGUGUGCUGAUAAUCAACUUGGAGGUGAAAGAUAACCACGAGGAGGCGGCUGUAGGAGCUCGUCUUGCUUUAGAUCUUUGCCAAGAGAUUGAAGCAGCCGAUUCGUGGGAGGAAUCAAUUGAUGAUAUUGUAUCU